CACGUAGGCACCAAGCGUUGUCCGGAUUUAUUGGGCGUAAAGAGCUCGUAGGCGGUUCGGUAAGUCGGGUGUGAAAACUCUGGGCUCAACCCAGAGCCGCCACCCGAUACUGCUGUGACUCGAGUGCGGUAGGGGAGCGGGGAAUUCCUGGUGUAGCGGUGAAAUGCGCAGAUAUCAGGAGGAACACCAGUGGCGAAGGCGACUUCCUGGCCUGUUCUUGACGCUGAGGCGCGAAAGCUAGGGGGAGCAAACGGGA
rnacentral:rRNA from 1 species